rnacentral:tRNA from 1 species
ACUAUUUUGGCAGAAAAAUGUCAUGGUUUUAGAAAUCAUUAAUGUAUAAUUUAUUAUAUAGGUAGUA